UACGAAGGGGGCUAGCGUUGUUCGGAAUGACUGGGCGUAAAGGGUGUGUAGGCGGUUAAACACGUCAGAUGUGAAAUCCCCAGGCUUAACCUGGGAAUGGCAUUUGAUACGGUAUAGCUAGAGAUUGGUAGAGGGUAGAGGAAUUGCGAGUGUAGAGGUGAAAUUCGUAGAGAUUCGCAGGAACACCGGUGGCGAAGGCGGCUACCUGGGCCAAUACUGACGCUGAGGUGCGAAAGCGUGGGGAGCAAACAGG
rnacentral:rRNA from 1 species